rnacentral:rRNA from 1 species
CGUUUAUAGCUAAUAAUUAUAGAUAGGUUCUGCCCACUGAUGGAAAUUGAAGGGCUGCAGUAUACUGACUGUGCUAAGGUAGCAUAAUCAUUUGUUUUUUAAUUGAAGACUGGAAUGAAAGAAUUGACAAAAUUUUAAUUGUCUCAAUUAAAAUUAUUGAAUUUGAAUUUUAGGUAAAAAUGCUUAAAUAUAUUUAAAAGACGAGAAGACCCUAUAGAAUUUAAUAUAAUUAUUUAGAUUUUGAAAUUUUUAUAAUACUCAUUAUUUGGAUAGGUAUAUUUUGUUGGGAGGACAGUUUAAUUUAAUAAACUUAAACUUACUGAAACAUAAAUUAAUGAAUAUUUGAUUAUUAUUAUAAUUGUAAGAAAAAAUUACCUUAGGGAUAACAGCGUAAUAUUUUUGGAGAGAUCAUAUUGAUAAAAAUGAUUGCGACCUCGAUGUUGAAUUAAGAUAUAAUUUAAUUGCAGAAGGUUAAAUUGUUAGUCUGUUCGACUAUUAAAAUCUUACA